rnacentral:ribozyme from 14 species
ACAAUGGGUCAAAAUUGUUACGCUUCAAUUUUUUUUUUCCUUUUUUUCUUUCUCUCUCUGUCUC